AGAGUUUGAUCCUGGCUCAGAUUGAACGCUGGCGGCAUGCUUUACACAUGCAAGUCGAACGGUAACAGGUCUUCGGAUGCUGACGAGUGGCGAACGGGUGAGUAAUACAUCGGAACGUGCCUAGUAGUGGGGGAUAACUACUCGAAAGAGUAGCUAAUACCGCAUGAGAUCUACGGAUGAAAGCAGGGGACCUUCGGGCCUUGUGCUACUAGAGCGGCUGAUGGCAGAUUAGGUAGUUGGUGGGGUAAAGGCUUACCAAGCCUGCGAUCUGUAGCUGGUCUGAGAGGACGACCAGCCACACUGGGACUGAGACACGGCCCAGACUCCUACGGGAGGCAGCAGUGGGGAAUUUUGGACAAUGGGCGAAAGCCUGAUCCAGCAAUGCCGCGUGCAGGAUGAAGGCCCUCGGGUUGUAAACUGCUUUUGUACGGAACGAAAAGCCUGGGGCUAAUAUCCCCGGGUCAUGACGGUACCGUAANAAUAAGCACCGGCUAAC
rnacentral:rRNA from 1 species